GAGAGACAGAGUGAGUUUGAGGAAAAACAGAGAGUGAGUUUGAGGAAAAAUAGAGAGGGCCGAGAGUUGCAAAGGGAGGCCGGAAACUUGGUGGCUUGAUGAUCCAGUGCAUGAAUUCUUUUUCAGUGUAGGGUUCUCUAUACCUUGAAUGUUUCAGGUACCGAAGAUGGACGGGAAUUGCUAGAUUCGGGCUUAGGUUGAAGAGUUGGCGUUGCAGGAAUUUAUUUUUUUUAUUUGGAGAUUUUUUUUUGUAUUUGAGGAAAUUAACUUUGUAUAAAAGAGGGGGUAAUUUUUAUGAUCUUGGGUAUAUUUUGAUGUAUUUAAAUUGAAUAAAUCGAGGAUUUUAUUGGAAUUGUCGGGGCGUGACAAAAUGGUAUCAGAGCUUGCACCCAGUCGGAAGUGUGAGUGUAGUGAUGAUGUAGACGGGUGUGAGUGGGCGAGUGUGUAGUACUGGUUAACUACCACUUGUAGCCGGGUGUGUGUGGGCGGAUGGCGUUCACCGGCAGCUACUGUGAUGUUUAGUUGGUGUGGUUAGGCAGGUAGCCCAGAUUUGUUGUUUUUUUAGUGGGUGGGCGGGUGACUCAUCGACUAGCUACCACAACGGUUACGGAGUGUGUGGGCGGGUGACUAGCACUGUCAGUUACCACAACGUCCUACAUAUCACUGUAUCUCACAUCGCCUGGGUUAAGGAUUUAUGGAUUUGGUUUUGUGAUUAGUGAUAUUUUUGGGUACAUGGACUGUUGAAUCUGAAUUUUUAAGUGGUAGAGAUUGUGAUAACCCGAUUUUUUUUUUUUUUUUUAUAAUUUAUAAUUAUUUUUUUAUAUAGUUUAGUGGAGGUGUAAUAAUAGUUUUAUUUAUUUAUUUAUUUAUUUAUUAUUAUUUUUUUUAUAGUUUAUAUGUGUGUGAGAGAGAUUUGUCUACUAAAAGUGAAGGUGCCGAAAUGAGAAAAGAGAAACGAAAGUGGGGCGGGUCCCACGGGUUGAUUUUAUACCUAAAAUUUCUUUGGUUUUAGUGUUGUGCACGUAGGCUACUUUUGUGGUGGUUUGGAGAUAUGAUAUAUAUGAAGAUUUCAAAGGCUUCAUUAAUUUUGUGCCAGUGUAUAUAGGAUAUAUCUAUAUAUAUAUAUAUAUAUAUAUAUAUAUUUAUAAGUAAUCUGAAGGAAAAGGAGCAGGUGGUAGAAUUGAAAAGAAGAAAUAAAGAAUUGGCGGGCCCACAAGAGAUAGAGAUUGAGUAAUGGUUUGUAAUUGUUGACUUUUGUGUGCAUGCAUUAGGCUGGCAUAGUUUUAAUUGUUCACAUGGGUGGUCUGUCUGGGUUUGUCUGAUGGAGGUGUGAUGGGUGAGCUGUUUAUUUUGAGCCGGUGGUUUUGCCUAUAAAUUAGGCUUGUGAUUUUGGUACAAAGACAGAAGAAAAAUCAAAAAGAGAGACAGAGUGAGUUUGAGGAAAAACAGAGAGUGAGUUUGAGGAAAAACAGAGAGGGCCGAGAGUUGCAAAGAGAGGUUGGAAACUUGGUGGCUUGAUGAUCCAGUGCAUGAAUUCUUUUUCAGUGUAGGGUUCUCUAUACCUUGAAUGGCAUAGGGAAGUUUUGCUUUAAUGUUUUUAUUAAAUGUUUUUAAUUAAAUGCAUAUGUAUUAAAUGUAUAUGUUUAUGUUGUGAAACUGUUUUAUUAAACCUCCAUGGAAUUCUUGUUAUGGUUUUUCCUAUUGGAACUUUUUGUCUCACCACCCUCCAGUUUCAGGUAUCGAAGAUGGACGGGAAUUGCUAGAUUCGGGCUUAGGUUGAAGAGUUGGCGUUGCAGGAAUUUAUUUUUUUUUAUUUGGAGAUUUUUUUUGUGUAUUUGAGGAAAUUAACUUUGUAUAAAAGAGGGGGUAAUUUUUAUGAUCCUGGGUAUAUUUUGAUGUAUUUAAAUUGAAUAAAUCGAAGAUUUUAUUGGAAUUGUUGGGGCGUGACAAUAGUACCCGCGGGUACUGUUCCCCGGGCCCAAAAAAAAAAAAAAAUUGAUAUUCCCAAAGCUAGACAAGCAAGCUUGGGAAUGGGGAGCAACUGAUAGGGAAAAAUAACCUACUUUGAUCAGCCGCCAGACCUCUUCCACAUAUUUCAUUAUCAGAGAUAAAGAUUUUCCUUAGAUAAGAAUGAUGACAUUUCUUAUCCAGGAUAAUAAAUGACGACGUGGUUCAACAGGGUGAGGAUAACCUUGGCACAAUUUGAGGAAGUCAAAAGAGUAAAUCUUAUCCCCACAAAUCUGGCAACAAUCGAUCUCCUCUGAUCUCGCACAAGCUGAUCUCCCGCGGGAUCAAUCUAAUUCCAAUUGACAGCCAUAAAUAGGGCACCAAGCUGUUAAAGAAGGUACGAGAAGAAACCCCUAAACAGAAUAUACAUAAUUAUUAUGUGAUACGAUUACAAGUACUAACUUGAUUGUCGGAGGGUCCUCGGCCGGCACCCUACCAGUGCCAUUCAAGGUGACUUCCCUUUGUUUUGCAGGUAAACGCCGUCGUUCCGAUUCGUGAGGAUUUCCGCAUCAACAGCUUUAUUAUUAUUAUUAUUAUUAUUAUUUUAAUUCUAAAAUUCUUUUUAAAAUUCUUAUAUUGAUAGGUUUUCUCUUUUAUAUAUAUAUAUGGCAAAAUUUAGCAUUCAUGAAUUAAAUUUUAAAAUUCUUUUUGUUCUUUCGUCAAAGUCAUGUCCUCCUAAAAUGGGUUAAGUAAGCCCUGUUUGCCAACUAUUUCGUCGUUGUUAUUAUUAUUAUUUGCUUCCAUAGCACAUAGAGAAGUAAAAUAUGGAACCUGCGAUUUAAAUAAUAGUGAAAUGUUAAAAAUAAUAAAAAAAAAAUCAAAAUCAGAAGUACCAAAUUAGUGUUGGUAUUUAUUGUUGCUUCCGCAUUGUAGUAAAAAUAUUAUAGCAAUCAACAAUAAUAUAAUAAAAUAAAAUAAAAUAAAUAAUAAUAAUAAUAAAAACUCUUAAAUAACCUUUCUAACGAGUUAUUUUUAUUUUUCAAACUUAUAACACUUUUAACCAAACAUGUUUUCAUGUAUUUUUUUUAAAAAAAUAUCUUACAAUAAAUAUAACAUUACCAAAAAUGCUUCCAAUUAGUAUUAAACAAACUCCAUAUAAAAAAUAUAAAAAAUAAAUAAAUAAAUAAUAUUUACUUUUCAAAAAAUUUGAUGCUUAUACAGUCAUGUACAAAUUACAAUUACAAGCAUUGCCACCGCGACCACUGCGAUAGAAGAGAAGUGUGUACUUCGGUUUCAUAAAUAUCAUAAAUGUGUUGCUUGAUUUAUAACUAUUCAUAAAUUUUGGUUUCAUAAUCAAAUUAAUUCAAAAAAAAAAUAAUAAUAAUGUGUCUAAUAAAUAUAUGUACACGUCAUAAUUGAUUCCAAGGCUACAUGACUUGUGACUUCUAAGGCGUUUGACGGACUUUUCUUUGCAUUAAAUUUGUAGCUAGAAAGGAAGAGGUAGUGGCUGUGAUUUGGUCUUCCUGAACAGUUUAUAAGUUGGUAGGUGCAAUAACUACAACGUUAAUGCUUUACGAAAUGUCCUACGGACCUGCCACGAUAAAAAAUUAAAAAUCCAAGACAUAUGACUAGAAAUCAUAUGUCCAAACAAUGGAAUGUUUAUAUAUAUAUAUAUAUAUGCGGGUAUGCUAUAGACAUUGCAUCUGGAAUGUCAUAUGAAGUUUCAAAGAAAUGGAUUCCCUCUCCUACCUCAUUUGGUGGGGGACCUUCCCACUGUCCCAUGGCACAACCUAGUUUGGAACUCUCCUUCAAUUCCCAGAACGAAGUUCAUACUUUGGUUAGCAGUUCAAUCUAAACUGCUAACUCUUGACAGCAAGUAAAUGUCCAAGCACAUCAAUAUUUGCCCCCUCUGUAAUGAGUCCAUGGCAUCUCAUGAUCACAUUUUCUUAAAUUGCUCUUUUGUCUCUCCAUUAUGGCGUUUCAUCAAAUACAAGUGCAGCAUGUUUACAGCCUUAAGAAGUUGGGAAGCUUUAGUUCAGUGGGCAAGUGCCAAAUGGAAAGCUAAGAAUUCAGGUAAUCUACUCAGAAAAUUGGGGCUUUCAGCGUUUGUGUACCAUACCUGGGAGGAGAGAAAUGCCAAGAUUUUUAGAGGGAAGAAGGCCUCCCAGAGAGCUGUAUGUGCCAAGAUUUGCUCAACCAUCUAUACAAUUCUAAAAUUGGGGUGCCUUUGUGACUGUGCUUCAUCAAGAUCCAUUCUCAAGGAUUGGAACAUUUCGCUGUCUUGUUGCCGUCCUCCUCCAAGGCCACCGGAUUGAGAUUCUGGCGGUUCAGCCGCCUUUCCUUGUUACCUGCCGGAAGUUCUUUUGUUUAUGGCAAUUGUCGUUAAUGGCAGUUACCAUUUUGUUUUCAUGUAUACGUUGAUGGGCCUGCCCAUUUGGGCUUGUUUUUAGCUUGUUUUUUACUACUUUGGGCCAAUGGCCCAUUGUAAAUAUUUCCAUUAAUAAAAAUUGCUUUAAUUUUUGAAAAAAAAAAAAAGAAGAAAA